rnacentral:rRNA from 1 species
UGUCAAGUCGGAUGUGAAAUCCCCGGGCUCAACCUGGGAACUGCAUCCGAAACUGGCAGGCUAGAGUCUUGUAGAGGGGGGUAGAAUUCCAGGUGUAGCGGUGAAAUGCGUAGAGAUCUGGAGGAAUACCGGUGGCGAAGGCGGCCCCCUGGACAAAGACUGACGCUCAGGUGCGAAAGCGUGGGGAGCAAACAGGAUUAGAUACCCUGGUAGUCCACGCCGUAAACGAUGUCGACUUGGAGGUUGUGCCCUUGAGGCGUGGCUUCCGGAGCUAACGCGUUAAGU